UCUCUCCUACGGGAGGCAGCAGUGAGGAAUAUUGGUCAAUGGGCGAGAGCCUGAACCAGCCAAGUCGCGUGAGGGAAGACGGUCCUAUGGAUUGUAACCCUCUUUUGCCGGGGAGCAAAAAGCGGUACGUGUACCGCAUCGAGAGUACCCGGAGAAAAAGCAUCGGCUAACUCCGUGCCAGCAGCCGCGGUACUACGGAGGAUGCGAGCGUUAUCCGGAUUUAUUGGGUUUAAAGGGUGCGCAGGCGGCGAGUUAAGUCAGCAGUAAAAUUUCGGGGC
rnacentral:rRNA from 1 species